rnacentral:sRNA from 1 species
GCUGGGCCCAGUGGUGCAUGUCUGUAAUCCCAGUGGCUUGGGAAGCUGAGGCAGGAGGAUCAUGAGUUCAAAGCCAGCCUCAGCAAUGGCGAGGCACUAAGCAACUCAAUGAGACCCUGUCUCUA